rnacentral:lncRNA from 1 species
CACCACAGCUUUUCUCUUCCUUCCUCUUUCUUUCUCUUUUCUUCUUCUUCUUCCUCCUCCUCCUCCUCCUCCACCUCUUCUUCUUUUCUCUGCUUUAGGUGUAGCUGCUGCCUUGAUUUGUUCUUUCAACAGAGCAGGUAAGCCUAAAAUAAUCUUUGCAUUUAGCUGAAAGUUAAUUUGUAGAUGGUAAGGUGGCAAGAGAAUUAAGGGCUAAAAGCUUAAAACGUUGGGUAGAGAAGGAUUUCGGGAGGAAAAAAAAUAUUAAGGAAAAGAAUGGUAAGGAAGGUAAGAAUGGUAAGGGGAAAAGAAUUUUAAAAGAAGAAAGAAUGAUUCUGGGAGGUGGAUGAAAAUAAGAAUGUCGAGGGGGGAAAAAUCUUAAGAGAAGAAAGAAUGGUUUUGAGAGGGUGGAUGUUAAGUUUUAGAGGUGGAUUGAUUCUGCCUUGCUUUAAUCUGUAAAUUUUACUUCCCAAACGGUUGGACCAUUUGAUCUGAAAUUUUAACCGGAGAUUGUUAACUCAUUAAUCAACUUGAAGAUAAAAUUUUAAAAUUUUUGAAUGAAUUUUAUUAAGAUAAAUAAUGAGUAGAUUAAAGCUGAAGGA